UAUCUUCUUCCUGCUUCUCAUUCAUCCCUUCCUCUCUGCUCCGUCCCUUUCUCUCCGCUGCGUCCCUUUUCGCCAGAUCCGACGCCCUUCCGGCUUGUCGUUGCCUCGCCGCCGUGACAAAGUUGGGAGAAGGGGGUGGCCGUCGUCUUGCGGUUGGGCCAGAGCAGCGGUGGGCUGGACGCCGCUUCCUGCUGUCUUUGAGAGAUGGGAGAGGGUUAGGGUUUGCCAUUCGAUUGGUGACUGUUGUGGGUUGGCAGCGCGCCGUGUAGCUACGAGACAACUUCCCUGUUGACCUACCGUCCUGCUGCAAGUGCGAGAAGGAUGUUUGCUAUCAGUUGUUCAUACAUCCACCUGUUAGAUGUUGUUGCUUCCCGAUGCCGUGUGCCAUUUUAUUCAUACUUAAGAGAGAUAAUGGAUGAUGGAGACGUUCUUGGAGGAGUGGAGCUUGAUGUUAAUGUUCCUGGGAGUGAUAGUCUCACUAUCAGAAGAUUUUUCUGGGCACAAGACAGGGUUGACUCUCUGUUUGCUUAUGAGGGUGCUGCUUUCCAGGCAAUUAGAUACUUGCAGCGUUUGUAUGGGUUUAUCAUUGUUUAUUACAAUUAUACACCCAUGACCACCUAUCGAGACCUUGCUCGCUCAACGGUUAUUCUAGCUGCAUCACCGGUUAGAUCUACCAUUCCAGUUGCUUCUGGUGAUGGCUCUGUCGCUGUGGGUGACGUCGAUGUUGUUGCGCAGCGGUCGAUGCUACAUGCUGGCUUGGUUUCUACCGCCUGUAGCUUUUAGGGGGUCUAUUUGUGUUGUGCUUGUUGCUCAUUUGUCGGGUUUUUUCAUUGGUUGAUUAUCAUGUAUCCGGAGUCUUGUGUGUGCUUAUGAUGAGAUGUCGGUUGUAAUGAGAUAUGGCUAUUUGCUGUUCU